rnacentral:rRNA from 1 species
GACGUAGGGGGCAAGCGUUGUCCGGAAUCACUGGGCGUAAAGAGCUCGUAGGCGGAAUAUUGCGUCUUGGAGUAAAUCCAUCUGCUCAACGGAUGGUUCAUCUAAGAUACGGGUAUUCUUGAGGACAGGAGAGGGCAGCGGAAUUCCGAGUGUAGCGGUGAAAUGCGUAGAGAUUCGGAGGAACACCAGUGGCGAAGGCGGCUGCCUGGCCUGAUUCUGACGCUGAGGAGCGAAAGCCAGGGGAGCGAACGG